CCCCGGCCCGGGGCGCUUCUCCUCCUACGUACCCGGAAAAAGCAGCCGGCGAGAGGCGAUCGAAGCAGGCGGAAAAGACAAUGAAAGUUAAAAGUCGUUCAGCAGAAAAUGAAUAAAGGUGAUAUCCAGGUCGCACAAACGAUGGUUUGGCCGACAGGACGGCAAGGAGUUCCCGGUCGUCUUCUAGACCCAGACGGAUCGCUACCUUGCCCAAGUUAAAAUUGGGUUGCUCUUUCCAGGCUUUUCGAAGCAUCUUUAAGUUUCCCCACUAAGUCCUAAAAGACGUAUACAAUACUACAUUUUAAAGAUAGAACAUGGGAAAGAAGUAUCCAAGUUCGACAAAGAUUCAAGAAAAAAAGUCGGGAGACACUUUAUAAACAAGUUUAAAAUUCACUAGGAUAUUAACCUUUGACAGCCUAUUAAAAGAAGGUUUUCCUCUAAAACACUUCAUCUUCAAAUCGGCUACUUGCCCUCAAAUUUGAAAUAAUGAUUUAUAACCAAAUCCUCUUAAAAGGCAAGGUAUAACUAAAUUAAAUUUCUCAAGUUAUCUAACAAAGAGUAUGCUGUAUUCACAUUUUCUGAAAGUUUAUUGAAUGGUUACAUUAAAACAACUCUGCAGGAGAUGCCUUUUGGAAAAUUCAAUUUCACCAAAAUUUCAAGCAAUGAUCUUCAUCUUUUAAGUGCAUUCUCCAUUCAUACCUGCAAGUGAAAAGUGGCUCAACUUGACACCUUAUACAGUACCUACCUUCCCAGCAGGGUUUCUAGGGAAUCCUUAUAAUUCUGGAGAGUGGAAAAAGAGAAAAAGAAAACACAUCUUUGCAAACAGAAUAGGAAAAAAGUCCUGUUAAUUUUUAAAA